GAUGAACGCUGGCGGCGUGCCUAAUACGUGCAAGUCGAGCGAACAGACGAGGAGCUUGCUCCUCUGACGUUAGCGGCGGACGGGUGAGUAACACGUGGAUAACCUACCUAUAAGACUGGGAUAACUUCGGGAAACCGGAGCUAAUACCGGAUAAUAUAUUGAACCGCAUGGUUCAAUAGUGAAAGACGGUUUUGCUGUCACUUAUAGAUGGAUCCGCGCCGCAUUAGCUAGUUGGUAAGGUAACGGCUUACCAAGGCAACGAUGCGUAGCCGACCUGAGAGGGUGAUCGGCCACACUGGAACUGAGACACGGUCCAGACUCCUACGGGAGGCAGCAGUAGGGAAUCUUCCGCAAUGGGCGAAAGCCUGACGGAGCAACGCCGCGUGAGUGAUGAAGGUCUUCGGAUCGUAAAACUCUGUUAUUAGGGAAGAACAAAUGUGUAAGUAACUAUGCACGUCUUGACGGUACCUAAUCAGAAAGCCACGGCGAACUACGU
rnacentral:rRNA from 1 species